GCCGCUUCCUGCGGCCGGGGCCAGUCUAAUGCAUGGGGCCCGGGCGGGGGACUAAGGGGAAACUGAGUCACGUCGGUGUGGGAGCAGUUCUGUGUGGGAGGCACCACCCCCCACUGGGCUCGGGGAAGGAUCCCCCUCCAAGCUAUGCUUGAGGGUCCCAGCCCCCAUCUGUCUCCACAGGGGCCGCACCCCACUCCCGCCUUCCCCUUCUUCAGCACCCAGGGGUCCCGCCCUGGCUCCCAGCAGCCUCGACUGGUCCCGGAAUGGCUAGGAGGAUCCGCUGCAGCCGCCUCCCUCCCCUCCCCUCCCCCUCGCGUCCCAAGCCCCCGUGUGCUCCCUCCGCUGGCUCUCCGCACAGUGUCAGCUUACACGCCUUAUAUAGUCCGAGCAGGCUCCAGCCGCGGCCUGCCUGCCGGGACCUGGGGGCGGGGGAGAGGAGAGCCGGCCCCUGACUCACCCGGCCGCCCGAGGCUCCAGGCUGGCUUGGGGGGAGGCCGCGCCAGUUUAGUCCCUCGGCCCACCCCUGGUUGCAAAGAACCUCAAACCUGGAUUCAGGCACCCCUCACCGUUCCAGUCCCAAGGGGAGGGGGGCUGCUCCUGUCUUUCCAAAGUGAGGUCCGCCAGCCAGCAGCCCAGGCCAGCCUGACAAAAUACCUGCCUACUAUGGCUUGGGAGCCGGCAUCAUGGAUUCCUUCAAAGUAGUGCUGGAGGGGCCAGCACCUUGGGGCUUCCGGCUGCAAGGGGGCAAGGACUUCAAUGUGCCCCUCUCCAUUUCCCGGCUCACUCCUGGGGGCAAAGCGGCGCAGGCCGGAGUGGCCGUGGGUGACUGGGUGCUGAGCAUCGAUGGCGAGAAUGCGGGUAGCCUCACACACAUCGAAGCUCAGAACAAGAUCCGGGCCUGCGGGGAGCGCCUCAGCCUGGGCCUGAGCAGGGCCCAGCCGGUUCAGAGCAAACCGCAGAAGGCCUCCGCCCCCGCCGCGGACCCUCCGCGGUACACCUUUGCACCCAGCGUCUCCCUCAACAAGACGGCCCGGCCCUUUGGGGCGCCCCCGCCCGCUGACAGCGCCCCGCAGCAGAAUGGACAGCCGCUCCGACCGCUGGUCCCAGAUGCCAGCAAGCAGCGGCUGAUGGAGAACACAGAGGACUGGCGGCCGCGGCCGGGGACAGGCCAGUCGCGUUCCUUCCGCAUCCUUGCCCACCUCACAGGCACCGAGUUCAUGCAAGACCCGGAUGAGGAGCACCUGAAGAAAUCAAGGGAAAAGUAUGUCCUGGAGCUGCAGAGCCCACACUACACCCGCCUCCGGGACUGGCACCACCAGCGCUCUGCCCACGUGCUCAACGUGCAGUCGUAGCCCGGCCCUCUCCAGCCGGCUGCCCUCUCUGCCUCCCUCUUUCUGUUCCUCCUGCCCAGGGCACCCCCUUAGUGCCUCCAGCUUCUGCCUACCUCACCCCCCCUUUCCUGCCCCUGGCCUGAGCCUCCUGCUGGCCUGGCCCUGGCCGCCCACCUGGGUUCAUCUGACACUGCCUUCCCUCUUUGCCCUGUGGUACUGCUGUCUGCCAGGUCUGUGCUGCCUUGGGCAUGGAAUAAACAUUCUCAGCCCUGCUUGCUCUGCCUGUCUUCUAUCUUUGUGGACCUGGUUUGCAUUUGGGGUGUGGGGGUGUUUCGUGGUUCGGACUGUUUGGGCCCUGCCGUCCUCGUUUUCAGUGGGAGGGGGUACCUGGCAAAGGGACCCUGCCCUGCCAUCACAGAUGGCUUCCUGGCAUGAGGGGAGCCCCAGGAGCUGCCUCAGAAGCGGGAGCCCUGCCUCGUCUCCCAGCUAGAGACCGCACACCAGCUAACUGGACAUUGCUAGGAGAAGCUGCCCUUCCCAUCCCUACCCCAGUGGGACCUGGAAUCCAACUCGGCAGUUUCCACGCCCCCAGGCAUCUCCCGUGGGGCCAGCAGGACCCAGGUUGGGGGGUGGGGCCAUGUCAGGAAGCUCAGCCAUGCAGGGCCUUGAAUGGCAGAUCUUGCAGCCAGGUGCCCGGGACGGAAGCCCCAGCCUCAUCUACACCCCAGGAGCCCUGGCCUGGCCCUACCGCCCCCAGCCCUACCAGCCGCCCGCCCUGGGCCGUGGACCCUGCGUUUGCCGAGCGCUAUGCCCCGGACAAAACGAGCACAGUGCUGACCCGGCACAGCCAGCCGGCCACGCCCACGCCGCUGCAGAGCCGCACCUCCAUUGUGCAGGCAGCUGCCGGAGGGGUGCCAGGAGGGGGCAGCAACAACGGCAAGACUCCCGUGUGUCACCAGUGCCACAAGGUCAUCCGGGGCCGCUACCUGGUGGCGCUGGGCCACGCGUACCACCCGGAGGAGUUUGUGUGUAGCCAGUGUGGGAAGGUCCUGGAAGAGGGUGGCUUCUUUGAGGAAAAGGGCGCCAUCUUCUGCCCACCAUGCUAUGACGUGCGCUAUGCACCCAGCUGUGCCAAGUGCAAGAAGAAGAUUACAGGCGAGAUCAUGCACGCCCUGAAGAUGACCUGGCACGUGCACUGCUUUACCUGUGCUGCCUGCAAGACGCCCAUCCGGAACAGGGCCUUCUACAUGGAGGAGGGCGUGCCCUAUUGCGAGCGAGACUAUGAGAAGAUGUUUGGCACGAAAUGCCAUGGCUGUGACUUCAAGAUCGACGCUGGGGACCGCUUCCUGGAGGCCCUGGGCUUCAGCUGGCAUGACACCUGCUUCGUCUGUGCGAUAUGUCAGAUCAACCUGGAAGGAAAGACCUUCUACUCCAAGAAGGACAGGCCUCUCUGCAAGAGCCAUGCCUUCUCUCAUGUGUGAGCCCCUUCUGCCCACAGCUGCCGCGGUGGCCCCUAGCCUGAGGGGCCUGGAGUCGUGGCCCUGCAUUUCUGGGUAGGGCUGGCAAUGGUUGCCUUAACCCUGGCUCCUGGCCCGAGCCUGGGGUUCCCUGGGCCCUGCCCCACCCCCCUUAUCCUCCCACCCCACUCCCUCCACCACCACAGCACACCGGUGCUGGCCACACCGGCCCCCUUUCACCUCCAGUGCCACAAUAAACCUGUACCCAGCUGUG